UACUGUCGACUUCAUUAUUAGAUAGAAGUAAUUUUUACAAAUUUAUUUAUUUAUUCUUAUAAUUUUUUUAUACUUAUCAUCAAUUCAGACAACACUUGAGUUCUCUAUUCAAUGUAAAGCUAUAUAUUACAUUAAAUCGAGAGGUAUAUUACGUGAAUGAAGAGAUUAUGCAUACAAAAUUGAAAUAAAAUAGAUGUUUAAUAAAAAAAUAUGCUUGAGCUUUUGAUUUAACGUCGUGCUGUAUACUAUAAUGGAUAUUAUAAUUUUUGACAUUAACUGCUCUCUGUAAUUUAUUUAUUGUUGCAGCAUUUAUAAGCAAAACUUUAUUGUAUGAAAUCUUUCAGCUUGCUCUCCUCUUCGCUGUGGUUGUUGCUACUAAUGCAAUCGGCUUUCCACUUGGACAUGGUGUCUUACAUAGCACAGGCGUCAGUGCAAGAUCUCAAACUCAGGAUGCCUUUGGCAACUAUGCUUUCAACUAUGGCAUCGCAAACGGAGCUGGUGCAACUAACUCAAGAGCUGAAGUAGGUGAUGCCCAUGGUAACAAAAGAGGUUCAUACACUCUGGCUGACCAUGAUGGAAGGGCCCGUAGAGUAGAUUACGUAGCUGAUGCUCAUGGAUUCCGUGCUGCUGUUCAUACCAACGAACCAGGAACUGCUGCCAGUGCCCCAGCUGCAGC